rnacentral:rRNA from 1 species
CGGCGUGCCUAAUACAUGCAAGUCGAACGCACUCUCGUUUAGAUUGAAGGAGCUUGCUCCUGAUUGAUAAACAUUUGAGUGAGUGGCGACGGGUGAGUAACACGUGGGUAACCUGCCCUAAAGUGGGGGAUAACAUUUGGAAACAGAUGCUAAUACCGCAUGAAACCUAACACCGCAUGGUGUAGGGUUGAAAGAUGGUUUCGGCUAUCACUUUAGGAUGGACCCGCGGUGCAUUAGUUAGUUGGUGAGGUAAAGGCUCACCAAGACCGUGAUGCAUAGCCGACCUGAGAGGGUAAUCGGCCACACUGGGACUGAGACACGGCCCAGACUCCUACGGGAGGCAGCAGUAGGGAAUCUUCCACAAUGGACGAAAGUCUGAUGGAGCAACGCCGCGUGAGUGAAGAAGGUUUUCGGAUCGUAAAACUCUGUUGUUGGAGAAGAAUGUAUCUGAUAGUAACUGAUCAGGUAGUGACGGUAUCCAACCAGAAAGCCACGGCUAACUACGUG